rnacentral:rRNA from 1 species
UCUUGGUCAUUUAGAGGAAGUAAAAGUCGUAACAAGGUCUCCGUAGGUGAACCUGCGGAGGGAUCAUUACAGAGUUCAUGCCCUCCGGGUAGAUCUCCCACCCAUUGCUAUAACUACUCUCGUUGCUUUGGCGGGCCGCUGGGCCCUGCCCGGCCGCCGGCCCCGGCUGGCGCGUGCCCGCCAGAGACCUCACAGACUCUGAAUGUUAGUGUCGUCCGAGUAACUAUACAAUCGUUAAAACUUUCAACAACGGAUCUCUUGGUUCUGGCAUCGAUGAAGAACGCAGCGAAAUGCGAUAAGUAAUGCGAAUUGCAGAAUUCAGUGAGUCAUCGAAUCUUUGAACGCACAUUGCGCCCUGUGGUAUUCCGCAGGGCAUGCCUGUUCGAGCGUCAUUUCAACCCUCAAGCCUCGCUUGGUGUUGGGCCCUGCCCGCCGCGGCCGGCCCUAAAGAUAGUGGCGGCGCCGCCUGGCCCUCAGCGUAGUACAGCUCUCGCUCCAGGGUCCGGCGGCAGCCUGCCAGAACCCCCCAACUCUGUGGUGACCUCG